rnacentral:lncRNA from 1 species
UGGGGAGUGGUGAAUGUGCAAGGGCGAUGAUAGGCGCUGAUGUCGUCGAUUUUUAUUUAUACUUUUAUCCUUAUUAUACAUUCUGAUCAUUUUUUUAUGUUCAGGAGUUUUCUCUGUUGAUUUAACAUAAAAAACGGUGUGUUUUACUGUUAUUGCCAAGUGCCAUAUUGAUAUUGAAAUUGGGGUACAAUUCAACAUUCACUGGUUUUCUAUGGCCUGUUGUGCAUCAUAUUAUUGGUAAUGUGAAUAUAGGUACUCCAUACACUGCUAUAUUUGGGUAUAUAUUAAUGUUUGACCUGAUUUUACUUCACUUCACCUUAUAUUUUUUGCAGGAACAGUUAUCACAGCAUUAUUGUGCAAAAAUAAGGGUGGUGUAUCACGGCACUCUGCCAGCCACUUUUGGCUUCCAUAGAGACAUCAACAAGCCUAUACCUCCAACACUACCGGAGGUUGACGCUAGCUCACGCGGAAUGGGCUGGCAGCGGCUGGCAGCGCGCCCAUGAAACACAGCCAGGGGUUUCCUCUGUAAAGUCAUUGUUGUCUAGGUACAUGGGCCUUUACCAAUUGUUAAAGCUAUAAAAAUUGGAAUUAGAAAUGUUCAGGUAUUAUGAGCAUCAGCUAAACAGAGAAGAGGAUUCGGCUACAGCCCAUCUUGCAACGCCUCAAUGAAAUUUAAUGAGAAACUUAAAUUGAGGGAGCAGCUACAUAACUGAGGAGACGAGAUUGAAGUGCAGCCAACACUGCAUGGUGCUUCUCACAAGAGCUGACCCAAUGCUGUUUUUCAACUCUUCUGGAAAAGAUCCCGAAAGAAGAUAACAGCUUGUUUUCUUCACCGCCACCAGUCUACCUGCUCUCUGCACACUCGGCAGAGCGCGGCAGGGCACCCCACGGAGCUGCACUAGUCACAUCCGGGCCCCACGCCGGUCGACGGCCGAUGCGAUGGAGGCACUACUCCGAGCUGGACUGGUGGCCGGCUCGGAGCUGGUGGAUGUCGACCGCGGAGCGGCGUUCUACUCCUUCCACCGGGCCCGGCAGCAGGAGCUCCAGAUGUCCUUGUGCCACCCGUCCGGCCAGGCCUCCAUCCACCUUGUAGAGGCGGAGCGGGAGACGGUGAAGCUCACGGCUCCGUUGGAACAUGGCCGCUGGGAGGCCUGCGGCGCGGACGACGGAUGCGGCAGUUGGUCAAGACACGGCAGCCUACUCGAGGUGCUUCUCGCCUGGAGGACGCAGGCGAAUCGCGUUAUCCGAGCUGUGCCUCGUCAUGGUGCGAUGAGCCUUAAUAGACUAAUGCAUAUUCUUCCUUUGGCUGUAAUUCAUUUGCUGCUGCCCGCUGGGCUAAGGACUAACUCUGGGCGCCUACUUUGGGCAGACGCUCGUCCAGUGCCGCUCUUCGUUUGCCGCACAUAUCUUUAUUUAUUCUUUGUUACAAUUCCGUCUUUGGUCAUUUUUUUUUUACCAUGGGGGCACUUGAAAGUUUUGUUUUUAAAUCUGUGGACAUUGAACCUGGAAUCGGUUUUUGUCGGAUUUCGGUUUUGUUUUUGCACUGUGGAAAUAUCUCGUUCAAUAUUUUUUAAGAUAGGGCGUGCAUAAACUUUUAGUCUCAUUACUCCUCUGUGCAUCUAAAUUCUAAAGUACUAUAAUGUGUAUCUCAAGUGUUUGGUGCUGUACUGUUAUUAUUUAUGGUUAAUCCAGUGCUGAUUUAUGGUUAAUCCAGUUUUUAUUCGAUUGAAUCGUGUGUAGUGCAUGACAUCCGCGUAUGCACUGUGGAAAUAUCUCGUUCAAUAUUUUUUAAGAUAGGGCGUGCAUAAACUUUUAGUCUCAUUACUCCUCUGUGCAUCUAAAUUCUAAAGUACUAUAAUGUGUAUCUCAAGUGUUUGGUGCUGUACUGUUAUUAUUUAUGGUUAAUCCAGUGCUGAUUUAUGGUUAAUCCAGUUUUUAUUCGAUUGAAUCGUGUGUAGUGCAUGACAUCCGCGUACCGCCUGUAGCAGUGUUAUAUAUUUUCAUUUAUGCUGGAAAAUAAUAACUUUCUUGUUCA